UGAUAAACUGGUUAGGGAAAAGACUCUUC
rnacentral:piRNA from 1 species